rnacentral:rRNA from 1 species
GACGAACCGUCCAAGCGUUACCCACCAUUACUGGGCGUAAAGAGUUCGUAGACGGUAAAGUAAGUUACUUGUUAAACUUUAAAGCUUAACUUUAAAUAAGCAUGUAAUACAGCUUUACUUUGAGUUUUAUACAGAAGAGUAGAAUUUUAUACGAAAGGGUAAAAUCUGGAAAUAUAUAAAGGAAUACCAAUAGCGAAGGCAACUCUUUAGUAAAAACUGACGUUGAGGAACGAAAGUGUAGGUAGCAAACAGG